UCUAUAUACAUAAAACUAUAUAUGCUACCAAUAUUAUAUCUUCCUAAUUAAAUGUAACAACAAUUAAUUAAUAUGGCAGCCAAGACUAAUCUACUAUUUUUUGUUAUAAUUGUGUUAAUUAUACAUCCAUGCUUCACAUCCAAAAUACACUAUGAAGAUGAAGUCUGUUAUGAAGUCGCAGAUUGCUUCGCAUAUUGCGAAGAUUAUGUAGACGGGAUUGCCCCUAACCCGGCCAGCGAUUGUUGUGGCGCGUUAUUAUCUUUGAAUGGUAGGGUAAAAUAUGUGAAGCAUGGGGUUCGUAGGUAUUGUCAGUGUAUCGAAAACUUCAGUAAUAGCCAUUAUCAUCCUCCUUAUCUCCAGUCUCGUAUUAAAGAUCUGUAUAGGAUAUGUAAUUUUCAUCUUAGCUUCCCAAUCUCUGAACGUAUGGACUGCUCUAAGCUAAAGUAAGAGGACUUGUGUUUGAGGAUCUCUGACUCGAUUCUACGUAUAAAUAAAGAUAUAUAUUGGGAAGUAUAAUUAGUACUAUAUUGGAAGUAUAUUAAUGAAUAUUAUGGUACUUUAUUUUUAAAUUAAUGAAAGAUUCAAAUUUUAGAUAUAGUAGAUUUUGAAUUGAGUUAAUUGAUUCCAAAAUGUAUAUAUAAUUUGAUAUAAGAGUAAUCUUUGACUUCUAUUUUCA